AUUGAACGCUGGCGGCAGGCCUAACACAUGCAAGUCGAACGGUAACAGGAAACAGCUUGCUGUUUCGCUGACGAGUGGCGGACGGGUGAGUAAUGUCUGGGAAACUGCCUGAUGGAGGGGGAUAACUACUGGAAACGGUAGCUAAUACCGCAUAACGUCGCAAGACCAAAGAGGGGGACCUUCGGGCCUAUUGCCAGCGGAUGUGCCCAGAUGGGAUUAGCUUGUUGGUGGGGUAACGGCUCACCAAGGCGACGAUCCCUAGCUGGUCUGAGAGGAUGACCAGCCACACUGGAACUGAGACACGGUCCAGACUCCUACGGGAGGCAGCAGUGGGGAAUAUUGCACAAUGGGCGCAAGCCUGAUGCAGCCAUGCCGCGUGUAUGAAGAAGGCCUUCGGGUUGUAAAGUACUUUCAGCGGGGAGGAAGGGAGUAAAGUUAAUACCUUUACUCAUUGACGUUACCCGCAGAAGAAGCACCGGCUAACUCCGUGCCAGCCGCCGCCGUAA
rnacentral:rRNA from 1 species